rnacentral:rRNA from 1 species
GACAGAGGAUGCAAGCGUUAUUCGGAAUUAUUGGGCGUAAAGCGUCCGCAGGUGGCUAUUCAAGUCUGCGGUCAAAGACUGGGGCUUAACCCUGGAAAGGCCGUGGAAACUGAAGAGCUAGAGUGCAGUAGGGGUAGAGGGAAUUCCCGGUGUAGCGGUGAAAUGCGUAGAGCUCGGGAAGAACAUCGGUGGCGAAAGCGCUCUGCUGGACUGCAACUGACACUCAGGGACGAAAGCUAGGGGAGCGAAUGGG